rnacentral:rRNA from 1 species
UACGGAGGGUGCGAGCGUUGUCCGGAAUCACUGGGCGUAAAGGGCUCGUAGGCGGCCAACUAAGUCAGACGUGAAAUCCCUCGGCUUAACCGGGGAACUGCAUCUGAUACUGGAUGGCUUGAGAUUGGGAGAGGGAUGCGGAAUUCCAGGUGUAGCGGUGAAAUGCGUAGAUAUCUGGAGGAACACCGGUGGCGAAGGCGGCAUCCUGGACCAACACUGACGCUGAGGAGCGAAAGCCAGGGGAGCAAACGGG